UCUUUUAAAAGUUUUAAUAUAAAUGUUCAAAUAAAAUUUAUUAAAAUUAUAACUUCCAAAUAAUUUAAAAAAUUAAAUAAAUAAAAAUUAAAUUAUUAUUAAUCAUAUAAUAUUAAUAAUUAUUAAUUUUUAUUACAAUAAUAUGUUUUUAUGUUUUAUAAUUUUAUAAUUUUAUAAUAUGUAAAUAUUGAUAAUUUAUUAUUAAACCGCUGCAAUAUCUUAUAAUCAAUCAGUCACAAAUAUCCUGCAAACACAACAAUUUUUAAACGUUAUGCGAGUCAUACAAAACACUUAAUAACGCUUGAAACUGCAACCACCCGCAUAAAAAAUCUCCCGCAUCCACAACCACAAUUGUUGCGUUUGAACCAGUCGAGCCCUAAGUUUUCCACAUUACUAUUUUUACAAUUUGUUUCUCAUUAUGUUAAUAUAAAAAAAAUUCUCAAAAUGUUUUUUUUUAAAGAAAAUCACUUUCUAUAAUUUUCAACCUUUCUUUUUUUUAGGAACUGUUACAAAAAUAAAACUAACUAUCUUAUACUUUAUUUUAAAUAAUAAUUAUAUAUAUAUAUAUUUAAUUAUAUUUCAUUUUGGAUUUAAAAAAAAAAGGAAAUUGCUAUCAAAUACUUUAUGUUAGGUAUCUAUAAGAAAAUUUGGAAUCCCUUAUAUAUUAUUUGAGAAGCAUUGCAACAUUUUUUUGUAGCCACGUGUCAUCACUAGAAUGAUUUUUAGAAUCCUUAGAGAAAAUAAUUACUAUAAAAUAAUAGUUUAUGGUUAUUUGGUUUAUGAUUUAUGAACAGGAAAAUUACUUUCAAAUAAUUAUUUCGGUUACAUUUAAUUUUUUUUUGUGCGACACAUUUAAAUAUUUUUAUAGUUACUAUUUUUACAAUUUAUUUAUGCCACCAUCUUAGUAGGGAUUAUUGGUUGUUGAAUUUUAAUGGAUUUGAAAAUCCUAACUAAAUCUAAUGUUAUUGGUUCUAUAAUUUUCAAAUAUGUAUUAAAAUCAUGUGUUAUUGGUUUAAUGAUUCAUAAAUUCUAUAUCAAAUCAAGUGUUAUUCAAUCGUACGGAUUUCCUAAUAUAUUUGAUUUUAUAAUAGAUUUGAAUAGAUUUUUUUAGUUAAAAAUACAAAGACUGAAAUCUGAGGGAAAACCCAUGUUUUACUUGGAUUUAUAAAUACUAUAUGGAUUUAUAAAUCAAUCAAAAUAUAUAAACCAAUAACACCUAAAUAUAAUGUUUUCAUGAAGUUGUUUUUAAAAGGAAAAAUUACUUCAAAAACUUUCCAAUUUUCUUUUAAUUAGGAUUUAUAAAAAAAGAAAAUUAGUACUAAAUACUUUAUUUUAGAUAACUAUAAUUAUAUAUUUUCAGUUAUAUUUUGUUUUGAAUUAAAAAAAAUAUUAUCAAAUAUUUUAUUUACAAAAAGUUAAUAUUUUUAACACAUGUCACAAUAUUAUAUUUUAGUCGCCAUGUUUCACGAUUAUGUUAAUUGUCAACUUUUAAUAACCAAGCUUUAUAUAAUAAGAAAAUAAUAAUUAUAUACAUAUUUUAUUAUCCUUCAUUUUGGAUUUUUUUUAAAAAGGAAAUUACUAUCAAAUACUUCAUGUUAGGUAUCUAUAACGAAAAUUUGGAAUAAUUACUAUAAAACAAUAGUUUACAGUUAUAUUUGGUUUAUGAUUUAUGAAAAGGAAAAUUAUUUUCAAAUAAUUAUUUUCGGUUCCCAUUAAAUAUUUUAUAGUUACCAGUUUUACAAUUUAUUUAUGCCACCAUUUAAUAUAAUGUGUUUGUGAAGUUAUUUUUAAAAGGAAAAAUUACUUUUAAAUAAACUUUCCAAGUUUAUUUUAAUUAGAAUUUAUAAAAAAAAAAAAUUAUUAUUAAAUACUUUAUUUUAGAUAACUAUAAUUAUAUAUUUUCAAUUAUAUUUUGUUUUGAAUUAAAAAAACUAUUAUCAAAUAUUUUAUUUUCAAAAAGUUAAUAUUUUUAACACAUGUCACAAUCUUAUAUUUUAGUCGUCAUGUGUCAUGAUCAUGUUAAUUAGCAACUUUGAAAAACCAAGCUUUAUAUAAUAAGAUUUGUUAUUAUUAUUCAUACUUAUUUGUAUUAAAGAGAUAUUUUUCAUUAAAGGUCAAAAGACUCUUCUACCCUUACUUUAUAGAUAUAUAAUUAUAAAUAGUUAUUUAAAUAAAUAAUGAAAAUUAAAAUAUUUUUAUAGUUUUUGAAUAUACAUUUUCAAAUUUAAACUUUUUUUUUAAAAAAAAAUUGUGUUUAUAUAAAAAAUUGUGUUUAAAAAUAUUUUUAUAGUUUUCAAUUUUUUUUUUAAAAUCUAAAAUUCUUUUUGAAACUAUUUUUAAAAUUUUUUAUUUUAAAUAUUAAGUAUUUAUUUAUAUAUUUACUGAAAUCAUAAACUUUAUCUUCCAAAAGUCACAUCUCAAAUCUAAACCCUAAGUUUAUAUUAAAUUAUUCUUAUGUAUAUAGAGGGAUAAUUAUAUAUAUGUAAUAUAUAUAAAUAAAUAUAUCUAUCAAUAUUUUGAAAAUGUUUACAUGAUCUCUAAUAUUCUAAAAUAUUUAUUUUUCUUUGAAAAUUUAGUUUUUGUAUGUUUCUCAUACAACAUUUAAUCGAGUACUCAUUUGGUAUCAGUAAAACAUAAACAUAAGUUCUUAUGUGGUGACACAUAUUAACAAAAUUUACAAUUAUAGAAAAUGUAAUUUUUUAACUAAACACUAAUAAAUUAAAACUAAUAAACUUUAUAUGUUACCGAUAAGGUUAUAUUAACAAAAUCCAAAAUAUAUAACCUUUUUAUACCAAAAAUAUAGACAUAAUCUUUUCAUGACAUAUAAGAGAAUUUUUUUUAUAUAAUUCUAAUAAGAUGAUAUCAAAUUUUUGUGUCGAUGAUGAUUAUCAUAUUUUUCUUAAUAUUAUUAAAAUUAUUUAUUAAAACCAUGGAUUUAUCUAUAUCAUGAAAAUAUUUUUUUAUAAAAUAAUAAAUAAGAUAAUAUGAAAUAGUUGUGUAGAUGAAAUAUUAUAAUUAUCAUGUUUCCAAAACUGUGUAAUUAUUAAAAAUAUUUAUAAAAACCAUGUACUAUGUCUCAAAUUAAGGAUAACCGACAAAUGAGCUAGGGCUGGGCAAAAAAAAACGAAUCCAAAGAACUGAACCGAAUCCGAUCUGAAAGAGUAGUACAAAACCUGAACCGAAAUUGAUUAAAAAUUCGAACAGGUUCAAAAUUUUGGUAUCUAAAGAACCGAAUCCGAACCCGACCCAAACCGAAGUAUUUCGGGUAUCCGAGUGUAUCCGAAAUAGAUUAUAUACCUAAAUAUAUUAGUUAUUUUUUGAUUUAAUGUACACUAAAAAUAUCCAAAAUAUAUAAGAUACUUUUAAGUUGUCUACAAUAUUUGAAAAUAUAUACAAAUAGUCAAAAGUAAAUGUCUAAAAUAGCUAAAAUAUAUUGAGCACACCAAAAAUACUAUAAACUAGGUGAUUUUCCCGUGCUCAUGCACAAGUAUAAAUAUUUAUAAAGUAAAUAUAUUAUUAUAAUUUAUUAAUAUUUUGUUUUUAAUUUUUAAUUAUUAUGUUAUUUAUAUUGUUAUCAAAAUGCAUGGCGUAUUUUAAAUAAAUUUUUGUUAUUUUAGUUAGUCAAUUAGACGUAUAAUUUUGGAUAUAUAAUAUCUCGACAGUUUGGUUAUUAUUUGGAUAUAUUAGAUAACAUUUACUUUUCCGAUUCAACUAAAAUAUUUUUGUUACACAGAUUAAAAUUUUAAUUAAUUUUGUUAUUUCAUGUAGUUUGACUCCUGUUUUAGAUUCGUAAAUAUAUUUUAGUAAAAUUAUGUAUAUUUUAAAAUAUGUUGUUUUGAAAAUCAAAUAGUUAAGUACACUAAAGUGUUGAUGGAUUCAAAGUCACAUAAAUAAAUAUAAAAAUUAUAGUCUUUGACACUUAAUUCAUAUAUAUAUAAAUAUAUAUAGAAGUUAUACAAAAUACUUAAUUGUAAUAGUUGGUUAACAUAUUUAUAAUAUUAUUUUAGAAUUUCAUAUUUAUUUGGUAAGAUAGUGAGUAGUUCCAUAAUUUAUAUGUACAAAAUAUUUUAUAAAUAAAAUAUAUGAUUUUUUAUUUUAUUUUUGACUUUGUAUAAAAAAUUUAGAUUGGUCAAGUUACUCAAUUUUAUGGGUAUAUUGUGUUACAUAUAUUCCGUCAAAUUCAAGUAUAACUAUUUCUAAUCUAAUUCAACCAAAUUGUAUUAACUGUAUUCAUUAUAUUAGUUUAGUUUUUAAUAUUAGAUGUGUAAAUAUAUUUUUGAUUUCUUAGUAAUUUGUAUAUUUUAAUUUGCAAAACAAAAAAAAUUUAAAAAUAAAGAGAUGAUAGGUACAAAGUUGCAUAAAAAUAUAACCGAUAAAUUUUAAAAGGGAGGAUUAAUUAUUUACUUUAAUAUCAAGCUUAUUUUUCAAAGCUUUUCGUUUUUUAUGAAAUCACAUUAUAUAUAUUAAAUAUUUUCGUUUUAAGUUUUAUAAAUAUUUUCUUUAUCAUAUAUGUUAUUUGAAAAAUAUAAAAAGGAAACUAAAUAAAAAAAAGAUUAAACUAAAUUUUAUUCAUUAAAUAUAUCUUAGUUUCUGUUAUUUAAAUUAUUUUGUAAUAAAAUGAGAAAUAGUUUGAUUUAAAUAAAAUGCUUAAAUUUUAAAAUAUGUAUUAUGUUGUUUAAAAUUAUCUUUUUAAAGGGGAGAUAAUUUCUUUACUUUAAAAUCAUGAUUUUUUGUGAACUUUCCUUAUUAUGAAUUACACUAUAUAUAAAAGAUAUUUUCGCUUUUAAAAUUUUAAAAAAAAAUUAUUAUAUAGGUUAUUUGAAAAAAAUAAAGAAAAAGGAAACCUAAAUAAAAAAGAAAAAAAUAAAUAAUAUAAAAUAAAUAUUUAAUAGUAAUAAUUAGAUAUAUCUAAUUCAUUAAGGGUAUCAUCGUAAUCAACCACCGUGAGAAUUAACGUGAGUGCGACACAUAGGAAACUUACUUCUCAAAUAAUAUUAUAGAGAUAUCUAUUGAUUUUCUAUCAAAAUAUUAAAACCAAACCAAUUUUUUUUCCUUAACCAAACCAAUUUAUAUGUUUAGUUUAGGUAUUGUAACAUAUGUUAUUCAAAUUUAUAUGUGAUAUUUUAUUUUAUUAAUAGAUUUUGAGAAAUUUAAAAUAUAUAAUGAAUUAUAAAAAUUUAAAAAUCAUUUAAAUAGAUUAUCCAAACCCGAAUCGAACUCGCAAAUAUCUGAACCGAAUCCGAACUGAAAUUUAGAAAUACCCGAAUGAGGCUAAAAUCUUUGAUUCCGAAAACUCGAAACUCAAAUAGAUCCAAACCGAACCCGAAUGGGUACCUGAACGCGCACCCUUAAAAUGGGCAAAACAUUCCUCAAAUAAUAGUAUAAAAAAGUAGAUAUAUAGAUAAUUGUGAAUCAAAUUUUACAACAGUAAUAAAUUUCAACGCGUUGAUAGGAAACAACCUAGUCCUCAUUAAAAAAAAAGAAGUAAGUCGUAAUAAACAACCUAGUAGGUCGUUUGUUUCGUAUUAACUUUUCUUUUGUCUGUGAUUCACAAAAUAUAGCAUAGACAAUCAUGCCGCAGAGAGAGGAAUAGAAACCAGAAGUCUUUACGACAAAUCAUCAAGGUGGAGAAAAGUUACCAUAGUCAAUCAAUGUCCCUUUUGAUCUUAUGGUCGAGAUACUCUCGAGACUACCUGUGAAAACACUUGCGAGGUUCCGAUAUGUAUCUAAACUAUGGUUAUCUAGUAUCAUUACCGAGUCGAUCAAAACUAGGUCUUUGGCUCAUCCACGCCAGCUUGUCGUUUUCUACCAAUCUUCAUCAUAUAUCUCCUCGAAUACUUAUCCUCUUAACACUAACACAAGAUUCGUAGACAGAGAUAGUUGUCGUACACUAUUACAACGCAGCUACUCCAUCUAUGGAUAUGUCCGAGGGUUAAUAUGUUAUUUCACAAAUUCUAAUCUGUAUGCGAUAUACAACCCUACCACGAGACAAAACGUUUUGUUGCCCCUGGUCGGAUACUCUAAAGAAAACAAAGCCUUAGACGAUGAAUUUUCUUCGUUAGAUCCAGCUGGGAAAUGUUACUUUGUCCCGGACGAAUACCAUCAUGGAUUCUUUGGAUAUGAUUCAGUUAAGAAUCUGUAACGCCCGCCCGUCCACGGCUAAUGAACCAUCCACAUCCGCUCACUCAAUCCGUGGGCUCCAUCCUAUCACAAUGCGUUAAUUUUUCGAAUGCCCGAAAGUCUUGUUUACUAACCCUGCAAUCACCAUCUGACCUUUUCUCGUGCUUUAGCCUUACUCACAUGGUAUCACGAAUCACUUCCCGAUAGGUCUCACAUCUUUCCACUAUUUCAGUCCAAGCACGCUUAACUCUGAAGUUCUAAAUGGAUGUGUGACGGAAAGUGUAAGUCAACUUUGAUGACAUAGAUAGCCAAAUCAAUUCUCUUAACCUUUUUUCAUAUGUCACAACUCGGGAUGUUACAAAAUCAAUACAAAGUCUUGUGCUUUGUUGAAGGGGAAAGAAUUUGCGAUUAUUCUUGUAAGGUUAUAACAUUUGGAGGUGGUCGGUCUAAGUAUAAAAGACUGGAGAAAGAUUGAAAUUCAAGACGAUAUCCCUCCACCGAGGAGUAAUGGUGUGUGCAUCAAUGGAAUUAUCUAUUACCUAGGAGGCACAUUAACAAGUAGUAGUGUAUUGGUAUUAGGGAGGUUCGACGUUAGGUUUGAGAGAUUUUACCAUAUCCAGAUGCCCAUAGAUGUGGAGAUGAAUCAGUUGGAGGAGUUGAGUUAAGUAACCUACCAAGGGAAACUAGGAUGCACGUUUUACAGCAAAGAUAGAGCAGAGGUGUGGGUUAUGAAAGAUCAUGGCGGCGAGAAACAUGAAUGGUCUAAGGUUACGAUUGACAUGUCUCUUCCUGAUAUGUUAAAGACUCUUGUAGCUGGUGUCACUCUUGAUGGUGAGAUUGUGAUAAUGCCCAAGACAUUGGAUUCUGCUCAAACGUUGUUAUACGCAUACUUUUACAACCCCAAGGAAAACAAAACUAGAAGAGUUGAGUUUGAAACCACAGCACUGAAGGGGGAGCGAGGAGUUUGUAUCUUAAGUGAGCCGGAUCACAUGGAAAAUGCUAUGUCCUUGCUCGGGAGCCAAUUUAACAAGAAGCCAGUGAGGCCACUAUAUGUUUUGAAGAAGAAAUCAGUGACCACAUUGCGACUCAUGUACAGUGCUGCAGCUGAUGUUUUCUCCUGUAACAAAUCAUUCUUGUCUCCCAAGAAACUAUUAGGUCUAGCUUUUUUAUGUGUCGCUCUUGUUCUAGCAACAACAUUUCAAACAUGGCUUAUGUCUUUAUUUGACUCAUUCCGCUUUUAGUUUUUUUCUUUCUCUAAAGCUCAAUGUAAACUUACUUUGUUGGGUGGCUUCUUUGGUUAUAUCCCGCUUGAAUAUCAAAAUUAGGUUUUUUGCAUGAUUAGAGGGUCACAAACCUUUGCUGGUCAUCAUCGUGAUAAUUAAACAAGAAUAAUUUAAGAUUACACUUGUCAUGUCCACUCAUCAUCAACUAAAUACUCGUAGUCUAGUAUCAUUGGUGUUAGUCGUAGUGGUGAGAUUGUAAUGAUGGUAUCUAUUUUUGCAAAUUAUUUUUAUGUUUAACUAUAAAAUACAAAAAACAAAUUGAUUAUAUUAAGUACGAUUUAGUAGAAGAAACACUUUUGCAAACUAUGUACAAUUUAGUACUUUAAAUUAAGGGUGUUCAGUCCGGUAAAAAUGGAAGCGAAAUAAAGAAAGUAGUUUAUAUUUAAUAAUAUUGUAUAAAUCAAAUAAAUGUUAUUUUAAAAACCGUGGUAUAUAAAUAUAGUUCAGUAUAUAAAUUGAUUAAACCAAAUAAACCGAUUAAUUAAAACAGUGUAAUAUAAUUAUAUGUUAAACCUAAUAUUGUAAUAUAAGUAUAUGUUAAACCUAGUAUAAUCUACUAGUUUUUUUCUCUCUUUAAUUAAAGCUCAAUAUAAACUUACUUUGUUAAUUGUUGCAUGUCUUCUUUAGUUAUAUCCCGUUUGAAUAUAUAAAAAAAAGAAGGUGUUUGCAUCAUUAAAGGGUCACAAAACUUUGAAACUUUGAAGAUUACACUGGUCAUCAUCGCGAUAAACAAGAAUAGUUUAAGAUUACACUUGUCAUGUCCACUUAUCAUCAACUAAAUACUCGUAGUCUCGUAUCAUUGGUGUUGGUCGUAAUGGUGAGAUUGUAAUGGUGCACAAGACAUUAGAUUUUUCCGAUCAAAGGUUGCAAGGCCAUCUGCAUUAGAGAUCUUAGAGUCAUUAUAAAAAUAUAUAUAAGUAAUAGUAUUUAAAUGUGAGAGUAUUUCGAAAAUUUGUUGAAAUCCUUUUGAAAGAUUUUUUUUUUAAUUUUUAAUAGACUUUCCAAAUAUUACACUUGGGUUAAGAAUCAAGUUUGUAAUCUUUAUUAAUUUAACCGGGAAAUUUGUUUUCCGAAAGAUCUGAUCGAUGACCUGAAAGAUAUUGUUACUAUUACGAUCCAGGGGGGAUCAAUUUUUGCAAAUUAUUUUUAUGUUUAACUAUAAAAUACAAAAAAAAAACAAAUUGAUUAUAUUAGGUACGAUUUAGUAGAAGAAACACUUUUGCAAACUAUGUACAAUUUAGUACUUUAAAUUAAGGGUGUUCAGUCCGGUAAAAAUGGAAGCGAAAUAAAGAAAGUAGUUUAAAUUUAAUAAUAUUGUAUAAAUCAAAUAAAUAUUAUUUUAAAAACCGUGGUAUAUAAAUAUAGUUCAGUAUAUAAAUUGAUUAAACCAAAUAAACCGAUUAAUUAAAACAGUGUAAUAUAAUUAUAUGUUAAACCUAAUAUUGUAAUAUAGUUAUAUGUUAAACCUAGUAUAAUCUACUAGUUUUUUUUCUCUUUAAUUAAAGCUCAAUAUAAACUUACUUUGUUAAUUGUUGCGUGUCUUCUUUGGUUAUAUCCCGUUUGAAUAAUAAAAAAAAAAGGUGUUUGCAUCAUUAGAGGGUCACAAAACUUUGAAACUUUGAAGAUUACACUGGUCAUCAUCGCGAUAAACAAGAAUAGUUUAAGAUUACACUUGUCAUGUCCACUUAUCAUCAACUAAAUACUCGUAGUCUCGUAUCAUUGGUGUUGGUCGUAAUGGUGAGAUUGUAAAGAUGCACAAGACAUUAGAUUUUGCCGAUCAAAGGUUGCAAGGCCAUCUGCAUUAGAGAUCUUAGUGGGGGUUAUUGGUUGGUGUAUUUUGAUGGAUUUGAAAAUCCAAACUAAAUCUAGUGUUAUUGGUUCUAUGAUUUUAAAAUAUGAAUUGAAAUCAUGUGUUAUUCGUUUAAUGAUUCAUAAAUUCUAAUUCAAAUCAAGUGUUAUUCGUUUAAUGAUUCAUAAAUUCUAAUUCAAAUCAAGUGUUAUUCAAUCAUACGGAUUUACUAAUAGAUUUGAUUUCAUAAUGUAUUUGAAUGGAUUUGCAUGGAUUUCUUUGUGAAAAAUACAAAGACCCAAAUCAGAAGGAAAACCUACGGAUUUGUAAAUACUAAUUCGAGAAAAAUUUGAAAAUUUGUAUAUUUUACUUGGAUUUAUAAAUACUAUAUGGAUUUCUAAAUCAAUAAAAAUAUAUAAACCAAUAACACCUCCUAGAGUCAUUAUAAAAAUAUAUAUAAGUAAUAGUAUUUAAAUGUGAGAGUAUUUCGAAAAUUUGUUGAAAUCCUUUUGAAAGAUUUUUUUUUUAAUUUUUAAUAGACUUUCCAAAUAUUACACUUGGGUUAAGAAUCAAGUUUGUAAUCUUUAUUAAUUUAACCGGAAAAUUUGUUUUUCGAAAGAUCUGAUCGAUGACCUGAAAGAUAUUGUUACUAUUACGAUCCAGGGGGGAUCAAUUUUUGCAAAUUAUUUUUAUGUUUAACUAUAAAAUACAAAAAAAAAACAAAUUGAUUAUAUUAGGUACGAUUUAGUAGAAGAAACACUUUUGCAAACUAUGUACAAUUUAGUACUUUAAAUUAAGGGUGUUCAGUCCGGUAAAAAUGGAAGCGAAAUAAAGAAAGUAGUUUAAAUUUAAUAAUAUUGUAUAAAUCAAAUAAAUAU